UACGUAGGUAACAAGCGUUGUCCGGAUUUACUGGGCGUAAAGAGCGCGCAGGCGGUCGUUCAAGUCGAGUGUGAAAGCCCCCGGCUCAACUGGGGAGGGUCAUUCGAUACUGAUCGACUCGAAGGCAGGAGAGGGUAGUGGAAUUCCCGGUGUAGUGGUGAAAUGCGUAGAUAUCGGGAGGAACACCAGUGGCGAAGGCGACUACCUGGCCUGUUCUUGACGCUGAGGCGCGAAAGCUAGGGGAGCAAACGGG
rnacentral:rRNA from 1 species